rnacentral:rRNA from 1 species
CUCUAUGGCCAUACCAUCCUGAACGUGCCCAAUUUUAUCUCAUCUCUGAAGCCAGGAAGGUUGGGCUUAGUUAGUACUUGGAUGGGAGAAAUGUGAAUCCACUGACCAGAGAUA